CAUCUGUAUCAUUUAGAAUUUUAAAAGUAAAAUGUAAAUGAUGUUUUGCUAUUGCCAGAAAGGAUUUGAUGUAUUCAAUGCACUAGACUUGAUGGAAAAUAAAACAUUCCUGGAAAAACUCAAGUUUGGGAUUGGAGAUGGCAAUUUGCAGUAUUAUUUGUACAACUGGAGGUGUCCUGGCAUGGAAUCUGAAAAGGUUGGUCUUGUAUUACAAUGAGGACAUUUGUGUUCCUAGAACUCUGAGGUCAUCGUUUGAGUUAAUUUGAUCUCCAUGGCAUCUCUUGGAAUGGUGUUGUUCAAGAGGAGUAAAAGCACAACGUCAGAGAUCCUGAGAUAGUCCAUUAAAACCUGAACAAUGAAGAAAUCCAUAUGCGACCAAAUUUAUGCAUUUUCAGAUAGAUCAGAAGGUCCAUGAAACUCUUUUAUUGUCCAUGAAAAGAAUAAAAGCACAUUCAUUUAAGUUUCAAAGCUUAGCUUGCACCUUGAUGAGAAGAAGGUAUUUUUUCCACUCUGUAGAAAAGACUGUUUUGUACAAACUGAACUUCAGUGGCGGAGUAGGGUACAAAAAUAUUUGCUAUUAUGUGGAUGAACUGCUGCAUUUCUAUUUAUUAAGUGGUGGUGUAUGUUCGUCAGUGUAACAGAAUGAAGGAUACAAACUCGAGUAUCUUUGCUUAUUUACUUCACGUGGAUAUCAUCAUUUGGGGGAAAAUCAUGAAGUAUGAGACGUUUUUAGCUCUAUGAAAGUCCUGGAUGUUUUUGUAACCGGAGCAGUAUGACGAUGUACUGGUUUAACUAGUGCAUUUAUUUCUCCAUAAGCAAUGCUGCCAAAUCAAUAAAAAUACAGAUUUGUACUUUGAUCUUCAAUAGAUCAGUGGAUUGAUUUAACAGUAUCGCACUGUUCAGUGCAGGUGUUAUCUAUGUUGCCGGAAUGAUUAUACAUUACUGUACUUAAUUUACAGUUGUGGCACAAAAACUUAGUUUUUCCUCAGUAGAUUAACAUCAGCCUGUGUGUAAAACUAAGAAUUUUAGUAGUGCUAUCAGGAUAUUUAUAGUUUGAAUGUUUUCAAUGCUUCUGCAAAAUUGCACAUAUUCCUUUGUCUACUUUGAUUUCUUAUGAAGUCUGUAAUUCCAAUGAAAAGUAUCUUGUGUAAAUAAGUAUUCAUAAAUUGUU